AUGGUCAGCGUCACCGAGCUCUGCCCGUUGUCCCUGGAGAUCCUGACCCGGCCCUUGAACGAUGGGCUCCGGGCGGCCGUGACCCUGCUGGAGUCCGGGGGGGACCUCCAGCCCCCUGGGGGGUCCCUGCGCCUCCUCUGCCGAGGGUCCGGGUUCGACUUUGGCAAGUUUCGCAUGUACUGGAUCCGCCAGAGACCCGGGCAGGGGCUGGAAUUUGUUGCCGGCAUCAGCAAAAGCGGUGCCAACACCGACUACGCGGAUUCGGUGCAGGGCCGGUUCACGAUCUCCAGGGACAACGGGCAGAGCUCGGUGACGCUGACCAUGAACAACCUCAAGGACGAGGAUUCCGGAUCCUAUUUCUGUGCCAAAGCUGCUGAUUCUGACGCUUAUCUUUAUGCUGCUCAUG